rnacentral:tRNA from 1 species
AAGGGAGACCUAAUUCAGGUAGGAGACGAAAAAAAGUAGUCCCUACCAAGAAUCAAUCCCAAAAGGUCGGAGCGAGGCAAAAUUGGCUUUCAAACUAGGUUAUGGGUUCACAUAAGACCUGAAUCAGGAACAAGGGCUAUUAGCUCAGGUGGUUAGAGCGCACCCCUGAUAAGGGUGAGGUCCCUGGUUCGAGUCCAGGAUGGCCCACCUGUACAGGUGGCAAAAAGAAAGAAAAGAAGCGAGGAAUCAGCACCUUAUCUUACUUAUAUAGUAAGAGAGAAUGCUGGCUCUGAGUUCAGAGUCCAGAGGAACCUUGAAAACUGCAUAGAGCUAGGUGAAAAAGCCAAAAAAGAAGACCGCAAGGUCAAGCUAAUAAGGGCUAACGGUGGAUACCUAGGCAC